UACGUAGGGUGCAAGCGUUGUCCGGAAUUAUUGGGCGUAAAGAGCUCGUAGGCGGUUUGUCGCGUCUGGUGUGAAAAUCAGGGCUUAACCCUGGACCUGCAUCGGGUACGGGCAGACUAGAGUGCGGUAGGGGAGACUGGAAUUCCUGGUGUAGCGGUGAAAUGCGCAGAUAUCAGGAGGAACACCGGUGGCGAAGGCGGGUCUCUG
rnacentral:rRNA from 1 species